rnacentral:rRNA from 1 species
GACGUAGGGUCCGAGCGUUGUCCGGAGUUACUGGGCGUAAAGCGCGCGCAGGCGGUUUCAUACGUCGGGUGUGAAAGCCCCCCGCUCAACGGGGGAGGGUCAUUCGAAACGGUGGAACUGGAGGCAGGGAGAGGUCGGUGGAAUUCCCGGUGUAGUGGUGAAAUGCGUAGAGAUCGGGAGGAACACCAGUGGCGAAGGCGGCCGACUGGACCUGACCUGACGCUGAGGCGCGAAGGCGUGGGGAGCGAACGGGAUUAGAAACCCCCGUAGUCC